rnacentral:rRNA from 1 species
UACGGGGGGGGCAAGCGUUGUUCAGAAUUACUGGGCGUAAAGGGCUCGUAGGUGGCCAACUAAGUCAGACGUGAAAUCCCUCGGCUUAACCGGGGAACUGCGUCUGAUACUGGAUGGCUUGAGUUCGGGAGAGGGAUGCGGAAUUCCAGGUGUAGCGGUGAAAUGCGUAGAUAUCUGGAGGAACACCGGUGGCGAAGGCGGCAUCCUGGACCAACACUGACGCUGAGGAGCGAAAGCCAGGGGAGCAAACGGG